GACGAACGCUGGCGGCGUGCUUCAUACAUGCAAGUCGAACGAGAAGCUGACUUCGGUCAGUGGAAAGUGGCGGACGGGUGAGUAAUAUGUAGGAAAUCUGCCUUUAGGAGGGGGACAACAGAGGGAAACUUCUGCUAAUACCCCAUAUGAGCGUAGCUGAAAUGCUAUUCUUGAAAACUCCGGUGCCUAAAGAUGAGCCUGCAUCUGAUUAGCUAGUUGGUAGUGUAAUGGACUACCAAGGCGACGAUCAGUAGCUGGUUUGAGAGGAUGAUCAGCCACAAUGGGACUGAGACACGGCCCAUACACCUACGGGAGGCAGCAGUAGGGAAUUUUGCGCAAUGGGCGAAAGACUGAAGCAGAAACGCCGCGUGAACGAUUAAGCCCUUCGGGGUGUAAAGUUCUGUCAGUGGGGACGAAACUUGACGGUACCCACAGAGGAAGCACCGGCUAACUCCGUG
rnacentral:rRNA from 1 species